GAUGAACGCUGGCGGCGUGCCUAAUACAUGCAAGUCGAGCGAACAGACGAGGAGCUUUCUCCUCUGACGUUAGCGGCGGACGGGUGAGUAACACGUGGAUAACCUACCUAUAAGACUGGGAUAACUUCGGGAAACCGGAGCUAAUACCGGAUAAUAUAUUGAACCGCAUGGUUCAAUAGUGAAAGACGGUUUUGCUGUCACUUAUAGAUGGAUCCGCGCCGCAUUAGCUAGUUGGUAAGGUAACGGCUUACCAAGGCAACGAGGCGUAGCCGACCUGAGAGGGUGAUCGGCCACACUGGAACUGAGACACGGUCCAGACUCCUACGGGAGGCAGCAGUAGGGAAUCUUCCGCAAUGGGCGAAAGCUUGACGGAGCAACGCCGCGUGAGUGAUGAAGGUCUUCGGAUCGUAAAACUCUGUUAUUAGGGAAGAACAAAUGUGUAAGUAACUAUGCACGUCUUGACGGUACCUAAGCAGAAAGCCACGGCUAACUACGUG
rnacentral:rRNA from 1 species